rnacentral:misc_RNA from 1 species
CCAAAUUCUUUGCUUGCCUGGGCCUUACGGUUCUUGCAAACGAAUCCCCCUCUGCGUAUCUGUACCUGUUGCUUCCGUCAGCCUGCGGGCAGUCCAUUGAGGGCUGCCCCCUCCGGCGCCUGACCUGAACUUGGUCGGCUGGGGAGCUGCUGGCGGUAAGCCAUGCGAAUUGCAACACCUGUCUUAUCUCUGUACUUGUCUGAGCUUCAAUGCUGUAAAUUUAACAAGUU